rnacentral:rRNA from 1 species
GGGGAGCAGCCCAGAGCCUGAAUCAGUGUGUGUGUUAGUGGAAGCGUCUGGAAAGGCGCGUGAUACAGGGUGACAGCCCCGUACACAAAAAUGCACAUGCUGUGAGCUCGAUGAGUAGGGCGGGACACGUGGUAUCCUGUCUGAAUAUGGGGGGACCAUCCUCCAAGGCUAAAUACUCCUGACUGACCGAUAGUGAACCAGUACCGUGAGGGAAAGGCGAAAAGAACCCCGGCGAGGGGAGUGAAAAAGAACCUGAAACCGUGUACGUACAAGCAGUGGGAGCACGCUUAGGCGUGUGACUGCGUACCUUUUGUAUAAUGGGUCAGCGACUUAUAUUCUGUAGCAAGGUUAACCGAAUAGGGGAGCCGAAGGGAAACCGAGUCUUAACUGGGCGUUAAGUUGCAGGGUAUAGACCCGAAACCCGGUGAUCUAGCCAUGGGCAGGUUGAAGGUUGGGUAACACUAACUGGAGGACCGAACCGACUAAUGUUGAAAAAUUAGCGGAUGACUUGUGGCUGGGGGUGAAAGGCCAAUCAAACCGGGAGAUAGCUGGUUCUCCCCGAAAGCUAUUUAGGUAGCGCCUCGUGAAUUCAUCUCCGGGGGUAGAGCACUGUUUCGGCAAGGGGGUCAUCCCGACUUACCAACCCGAUGCAAACUGCGAAUACCGGAGAAUGUUAUCACGGGAGACACACGGCGGGUGCUAACGUCCGUCGUGAAGAGGGAAACAACCCAGACCGCCAGCUAAGGUCCCAAAGUCAUGGUUAAGUGGGAAACGAUGUGGGAAGGCCCAGACAGCCAGGAUGUUGGCUUAGAAGCAGCCAUCAUUUAAAGAAAGCGUAAUAGCUCACUGGUCGAGUCGGCCUGCGCGGAAGAUGUAACGGGGCUAAACCAUGCACCGAAGCUGCGGCAGCGACGCUUAUGCGUUGUUGGGUAGGGGAGCGUUCUGUAAGCCUGUGAAGGUGUACUGUGAGGUAUGCUGGAGGUAUCAGAAGUGCGAAUGCUGACAUAAGUAACGAUAAAGCGGGUGAAAAGCCCGCUCGCCGGAAGACCAAGGGUUCCUGUCCAACGUUAAUCGGGGCAGGGUGAGUCGACCCCUAAGGCGAGGCCGAAAGGCGUAGUCGAUGGGAAACAGGUUAAUAUUCCUGUACUUGGUGUUACUGCGAAGGGGGGACGGAGAAGGCUAUGUUGGCCGGGCGACGGUUGUCCCGGUUUAAGCGUGUAGGCUGGUUUUCCAGGCAAAUCCGGAAAAUCAAGGCUGAGGCGUGAUGACGAGGCACUACGGUGCUGAAGCAACAAAUGCCCUGCUUCCAGGAAAAGCCUCUAAGCAUCAGGUAACAUCAAAUCGUACCCCAAACCGACACAGGUGGUCAGGUAGAGAAUACCAAGGCGCUUGAGAGAACUCGGGUGAAGGAACUAGGCAAAAUGGUGCCGUAACUUCGGGAGAAGGCACGCUGAUAUGUAGGUGAAGUCCCUCGCGGAUGGAGCUGAAAUCAGUCGAAGAUACCAGCUGGCUGCAACUGUUUAUUAAAAACACAGCACUGUGCAAACACGAAAGUGGACGUAUACGGUGUGACGCCUGCCCGGUGC